AGCUAAAUGCGGAAGAGAUAAGUGCUGAAAGCAUCUAAGCACGAAACUUGCCCCGAGAUGAGUUCUCCCUGACUCCUUGAGAGUCCUGAAGGAACGUUGAAGACGACGACGUUGAUAGGCCGGAUGUGUAAGCGCAGCGAUGCGUUGAGCUAACCGGUACUAAUGAACCGUGAGGCUUAACCUUACAACGCCGAAGCUGUU
rnacentral:rRNA from 1 species